UGGGGAAUAUUGCACAAUGGGGGAAACCCUGAUGCAGCGACGCCGCGUGAACGAAGAAGGUAUUCGUAUCGUAAAGUUCUGUCCUAUGGGAAGAUAACGACAGUACCAUAGAAGAAAGCUCCGGCUAAAUACGUGCCAGCAGCCGCGGUAAUACGUAUGGAGCGAGCGUUGUCCGGAAUUAUUGGGCGUAAAGGGUACGCAGGCGGUUUAAUAAGUCGAAUGUUAAAGAUCGGGGCUCAACCCCGCAAAGCAUUGGAAACUGAUAAACUUGAGUAGUGGAGAGGAAAGUGGAAUUCCUAGUGUAGUGGUGAAAUACGUAGAUAUUAGGAGGAAUACCAGUAGCGAAGACGACUUUCUGGACACAAACUGACGCUGAGGUACGAAAGCGUGGGGAGCAAACAGG
rnacentral:rRNA from 1 species